UCUCUUCUUUGUUCGGCAUCCCCCUUCUCAUAUAAUAGCUCUUGUCUCUUCCCUCAACCUGUCCAUCUGAGAAAUGCUUAGUACCUGAUUGCUUCUGACUGAAGUGAAAUGGUCAUGCAGCUUUAGGCAGAACAGGGAACCAAACAAAAAUGUGUCUGUUUUUUGGAGCUGACUAGAUGUUGCAGAGAAUGGAAGUCCUCUCAUAACCCCUAGGUCCUGAUCGAGCACAUUGGAAACCUGGACCGGGCAUAUGAGUUUGCGGAGAGAUGCAAUGAGCCUGCUGUGUGGAGUCAGCUGGCCCAAGCCCAGCUCCAGAAAGAUUUGGUGAAGGAAGCCAUCAACUCCUAUAUCAGAGGGGACGACCCUUCCUCUUACCUGGAAGUUGUUCAGUCAGCCAGCAGGAGCAGUUGGAGACCGCUGUUACGAGGAGGGAAUGUACGAGGCUGCCAAGCUGCUCUAUAGCAAUGUUUCUAACUUUGCCCGCCUGGCUUCCACCUUGGUUCACCUCGGUGUGCUUUGCCUGUGUGGAUGGACAGGAGUUCCGCUUUGCACAGCUGUGUGGUCUUCACAUCGUCAUUCAUGCAGAUGAGCUGGAGGAGCUGAUGUGCUAUUACCAGGAUCGUGGCUACUUUGAGGAGCUGAUCUUGCUGUUGGAAGCGGCCCUGGGCCUGGAGCGGGCCCACAUGGGCAUGUUCACUGAGCUGGCCAUCCUCUACUCCAAAUUCAAGCCACAGAAGAUGCUGGAGCAUCUGGAGCUUUUCUGGUCCCGUGUCAACAUCCCAAAGGUACCGUGUAUUCCUUGCAGUCUGGCAGCCGUGGCCACGUGCAGCACAAGCCGACCCUGACCUCCUUGUCCAGGUGCUGAGGGCUGCAGAGCAGGCACACCUGUGGGCUGAGCUGGUGUUCCUCUA
rnacentral:sRNA from 1 species